AGCAGCCGCGGUAAUUCCAGCUCCAAUAGCGUAUAUUAAAGUUGUUGCAGUUAAAAAGCUCGUAGUUGAAUUUCGGGAUUGACACAUCGGUCGUGCCUUAAGGGGUAUGAACUGGUGUAGUCAAUUUCUCACCUUCUGGAGAACCGCGAUGCCCUUAAUUGGGUGUCGCGGGGAACCAGGACCUUUACUUUGAAAAAAUUAGAGUGUUUAAAGCAGGCAUUUUGCUUGAAUACAUUAGCAUGGAAUAAUAAAAUAGGACGGCAUGAUUCUAUUUUGUUGGUUUCUAGGAUCACCGUAAUGAUUAAUAGGGAUAGUUGGGGGCAUUAGUAUUCAAUUGUCAGAGGUGAAAUUCUUGGAUUUAUUGAAGACUAACUACUGCGAAAGCAUUUGCCAAGGAUGUUUUCAUUAAUCAAGAACGAAAGUUAGGGGAUCGAAGACGAUCAGAUACCGUCGUAGUCUUAACCAUAAACUAUGCCGACUAGGAAUCAGACGAUGUUAAUUUUUAAUGAC
rnacentral:rRNA from 1 species